UCUCAGUGUUCAUACCAGGUGGAUCCAGAGACUCCGCUCAGAUAAAGGAUGGAGUCCAGAAGACCUGUUUUCUGGAGCUGAACCAGGGAUCCCAGCAAUCCCACCAUGGCUCGUUGUCCUCCUCCAGAACCCAACAAACACAGACCUCCGAUAUUCCGCUGUUUGCACUUCUUGUCGAUCAUGGUGUAGAUGGGAAACGGGACUUUACCGUCUUUACUCUGCUGGCUCCACUGCUCUUCUCUAGUUUGGUGGACCAGUCUGGUUCCUGAUAUACGGAGGCCAUGGACCUUCAGAGGAACAACAUAUGCUGUCAAUUUUGGCAUUUGACCCAUCUGUGUGUGUGUGUGUGUGUGUG